UAGGGCAUCAUUCACAUAAAUGACAAAUAAGACUUCUGAACUGUUUGCAAUUUGGGAAGUGGAGGCUCGCGGGUUGUUCCUUGGCGAAAUGAUUUGUCAAACAUCAGUCCGAAAUUAUUCGGGGGUUCUUCGCCCUCCACUUUCCCAUAGCGCGUUUUCCUUUCUCCCACAGAGAUAUAAUAGAAACUAAUCUUCAAAAUCCAAACAUUCCAAGCCCCGUCCUUUUGUGCAGGCAUCUCGCUGUCUGCGCUGGGCGCGGAGCGGCGCGCGCGCGCCCGUCUUUCCCUCGGCGGCCCCCCGCGGCUCGGACCCGGGCCGGCAGACAGGCCAUCCAUCAUCCGCCCUCCUCCCGCGGAGCGCCGCAGCCGCCGCGGCCAAUCCGGCGGCAGGUGGGGCCGCACCUGCGGGACGGCCGGCCGCUUCCCUCCGCUCUCUUCGCCGCGCCUCGCGUGCUAGCGGUGCCCUUGUGAGCCACUGCGUUCUCCAAGGCCAGAACGGGACAGUUGACGAUGGUCGUACUUCUCCAUGUUCUGAGACCAGUUUAAACAAAAACAAAAACCAGACAACAACCUUGCAAGGGAAAGAAUUCAGAGUAAAUAAACAGUCUUUUUCUGGGAAGUAAAAUAUUUCCCUAAGAUGGAGAAAUUGAGAUGAGAGCUCAUCCACAAGAUUACCCAUCAAUGAGCACCAAUAGCAACCAAAUCCACUAGAAGACUGGGAGCUUUUAAGUCAAGAAACUUACAUCAGUAUCAUCAUUCCAAGAAGCGGCAUCCAAGCUGUUUUAUCAAAAGUGUGCAUGGGAGGCAGAUUUUGACUCCAAAAGUCCAGGAUGGGGCCUGAGGUUCUGCAUGUCUAACAAUUUCCCAGCUGAUGCCAAAGCUGCUGAUCAGAGUCUACACCUUAAGAAAUAAGACUCUGAGAAUUUAUAGAAACAAACAUUAGAAGGCAGGAAUGUGGAGAGAAGAAAGCUACCUGACGAGGGAAUCUCAGGAUACAAGGAAAACACCAAGAGUCGUCUUCUAUGGAUUGCAGAGGGAACAUCUUCGCUUGUUGGGAAGUUAGGCUCCAUUUCUUCUGAGGAUCCAUUUAAGCUGUGGUUGGACAGUUCCGUAAAUUAUCAAGACAAGGCUUAGAGUAGGCCAGCCACUGCGUGGCUGCACUCUUGAGGGGAAGCCUAAACCUGAGAAUGGAGAUAUUUACAACGUGGGGGAAGAACACCUGGCUUCCUUGCUCCAUCACAGAAACACAUCUCAACACAUCCAAGGUUAUGAGGUAAUAAGGAAUUAACUAUGGCCUCUCCUUCCACGUGUCAAAGCUGAUUCUAUUCUAGAUGAGUCUUAAUUAUGCCAGCGAAGUGUGGAGUUUAAUAGAAAGAACCUGUUUGUUGAAAAUGUAACUUUUAUUGUAAGGACUAAGAAAGAUUAAAAGUAAACUUUGCUUUA